UUUAUACAUAAUAAUUAGACACAGCACACACUCAUAUAUUAUACCAAUAAUCACUUUUAUUUUGUAUGCGAUUAAUCGCGAUUAAUCUUUGCCCAGCACCAUUUCAAAUAUAAAUUUUAAGAAUACCCUUAAUAAUAUAAUAACAUACAACCUUUUAUCUGCUUUCUUUAUGGUUCCACAGACAGCUCCCUCAGCCUUUUGUAUGCAAAACAUGCCCAUGCGGGCCCACUGUGAGGUAUAUUGUGGGACAGUGUGGGCAAGGCAAACUCACACCACAUCCCAAAUGGGCCCCCAAAUUAUCAUUGUUUGUUAUUAUCUUAGCAGAUAAUUUUCUUUUGAUGUUUGUUGUUGUUGUUUAAUCAAAAACCAGUUACUACACUUUUAUUAUAAUAAAACCAUUUUUUUAUUUUUUUAUAAAGCUCUGUCCAUUUAGAACAAAAUGUGCAUGCAUGUUUAUGAAAUAAUUGAACCCACCCCCGGGUGAAGAUCUAAAAAGCUAUGUUUUAAAAGCACAAUAUUUCUGUUUAUUUUAAUACAAGAAAUGUUUAUUGUUAAACAAGUUCUAAUUUUCAGUUCAGUCUGGACGUGGGACAUCUUUUUUACCAUCUUUAUUGUUCUUUAACAUGUUGUCUUUUGUUAUGUGUUAUUAGCGAGGGGCAACCUUCCGAUCUCUCUAAUGAAGCCAACACGGAAGUGAUUUAAACUGCAAUUCAUCGACUGGCUCCAAAAGGGAGUCAAUUCCCAUAGACUCCCAUGUUAAAAAUUGCCAACUUUACAGUAGAAAAUAAUAUGUUUACAGCCUGGUACAAAAAGUGUUUUUGGCCUAUAUAGCUAAUUUUGCCCGUCAUGACAACUGUGAGGGGGGUGAAUGUUUUUGUAACUCAUCCGUUUAAAUUAUAUUAAGCCUUAAACUUCUGCAUAAUUAUGGGCGUGGCCGCUUGAGUGUCGGUUGAACAGCCACUGCUGUCACUAGACUCGCGCUAGGCGGGCGUGGUUUCACCUCAGCUUCACCCAUAUCCCGCCUCUUUACGUCAAUGUAUCGCGAGAGCGAGUCAAGAAAUUACACUCUCGCGGUACAAUGACGUUUACCUGUCAGCGCAGCAAGAAGUCGAACACACGUAUUUGCGUGCGCGCGCCUCGGUCCUUGUGAGUUCAAAGUGGAUUUUAACCGUUUACCUCAGACGACAGUUUUCAUUUCUAUGGUAAAUUCUAAGGUCAUUUUCUUGUUGUGUUGUGAUGUGUUCCAUUGGCUGAAGAGCAGAUUACCAUGCAAUUUGAUGAAGUGUGAUAAAAUACACAGAGGUGAAGUCACGUGUCUUUCCAGAUGCCCAAAUCUGUACCACUCAAAAGAUGAGCCUGAAGAGGAGAUUUGGGAAGAUGCUGUUUCAUAAGUCUUUGCUUUGCCAGAUCACCUGUGGUCGGGAUGUCUGCUAACAUGAUGCCUUGUUGGUCUGGGCGAGUUUGAAGUCUCUCACAGACAGUCCAGAAGGUCUGGAGUCCAUGUUAGCUUUUAUUGAUUAACUACAUACGGUCCCUUGGGGGAGCCAACCCAGGUGAAGUCCACUGAAGUCCCGAUUGCCUACAGCAUGAAAUGGAGGAAGGAGACUGGAUGACCGCUCCGUGCAACGAGUGACAAGGAGUGAACCCUCGUCAGUCAUUUGUCAGUCGCAUGAUCUGUGUGGGGAGGGGGGACUCCUGGCGUAGCCUAUCACAGUAGGCGUACUGAGGAGGAUGAGCGCCGCGUAAAGGCCCGGGUAUACUUUUUUUCCGCGUCCGGCUCGCGCGCGCACGCGUCCGCGCAGCUUUCCGGGUAUAGUCCCCGCGGCUACACGCGGAUGGCCGCGUUCGACACUAUACGCAAUACAAAUGAUUUCUUAUUCAAAUUAUUAGUCUAACAGGCUGUCAGGGCAGCACUGAUUUGGCGACAUUUACAGUACAUUAAAACAUUAGGAUAGGUGAAGAAAAGUAACUGAUCCACCAUUGCAAACACAGUUUAGUAAAAAACAACAAGACAACAAAGAACAGGAAUCAAACAAACAUGCUCCACAGCUUUCUGUUCUUGGAAGAAGUAAAAGUUAAAGAAGAAAAACGAUAGUGUGUGUGCAAAUGCUGUCUAUUUCCUUUGUAUAAUUGUUUAUAGUGGAGUGUCCUGUCUAAAUAUUUUCUCGCGCAUGCGCUGUCGUACGCGGACUGUACGCGCACUGUCCGCGCGGUCUCAAAUUUUGGGCUGCACGCGGACGGUCCGCGCGGCCGGCCGCGGACCCUCCUGGUGACGAAAAUGACGUCAUGCGGACGGCGCGCAUACGCGGACGUCCCUAGUAUACUUUCGGCUUAAGGAGUGUAGCAGGAGAAAACACUAGUUGAGACGAGAGUUGAAGAAAAAGAUGGAUUUACUAGAGGCUGUUUACACUUGUCAUUAACAUGCGUUUUCAUCAAUCGGAUCACAAUGUUUUACGUCUUUUCUGACUUUUCUGACACAAGGUGAACAGCGCUAUUUUUAGCCUUUCAUUGAUAAACUAAAGCGGGUGAUCUCCGCAGUUUCAUUUUGCAAGCGUGUGAAAGUUGCGCGAUCUUAUUUCAUCAAUUGCUCUGAAAAUUCAGAGAAAGCUCUAACAUAUACAUGUAGAAAAUACUGUGCAGCAUGUUUACUUCCUAAACAAGCAGUGGACAUAAUAUUAGUUUGCGUCCAUAUAAACUCAUAAUUACUCCCGCUGGCGUUUAAAUGACAGCAGAGAGACUCGACCACUGUCUCGACAGACCACCCCCUCACAGUAUUCAGGACAGAAGCGGUCGAAAGUGGACAAAAGAGACGGAUUUAAAUACCAGGUGUAAACGUGAUAUGUCUCUCUCGUCCACUUGUGAUCUGAUCAAAAACACAUCUUAAUACCAAGUUUAAACAGCCAAGUUUCAAAACCAAACGCUACAGCUGCAGUGUGGGAGUACUUUGGAUUUAAACCUAAUGACCGAGGUGAACCACUAAACCUGAACGAGCCGUUAUGUCGCAUUUGUGGUAAAAACGUAGCACUUAAAAGUGGCAACACGACAAACAUGCAUAUGCACCUUAAACGCAAUCAUCCUGUUAUUUUGUUCAUUUCUUGUGGAUAUUUAAAAUGUCUUCCAGUUCCAGUAUUACUUAUUGUUUAGAAAUAAAAGUUUAUAGAUCUUUGAAAAGGUGUAUCUGCAUUAUUAUAAUGGUCCCGGAGCAUCAAUGUUAUCGUCUAUCGCGGUAAAUUCUGAGGCAAUUUAUCGUCUAGCAAUAUUUGUUAUCGUGACAGGCCUAGUUAGGACUGAUGUGAUUUGUAACUGGUACUGAUGUGCUUAUAAAAUAAGAACAACAUAUAAAUGAUCAGAAUAUCAACUUGCAUAAUUAUGCAUGUAGUAAUCAUAACAACAGUUACAACCAUACAUCACAAUUGUGGUUAUACAGGAGUAUGAGUAUGACAUGACAUGAUGAACUUGUAUGUUUAAUUCAGGGGUGGCAAAUGUUGGUCCUGGAGGUCUGCAGUCCUGCAGAGUUAAGCUCCAGCUCUAAUCAAACACACCUGAACAGGCUAAAAUCAAGGUCUAAAGAGUUACUAGAAAGCUACGGGCAGGUGAGCUUUUAUCAGGGUUGGAGCUAAAAUCUGCAGGACUGCCCUCUCCAGGACCAAUGUUCGCCAUCCCUGGUUUAAAUGGCACAUAUUUUACAAGGCCAAUUCUUAUGAAUUUGUACAGUAAAUCAUACAAAUACCUAUGACUAUUAUUAAAAUAAGAAUGAAUUAAAUCAGUACAAUGAGCCACCUCUUAACAUACAUAGUACUAAUUGCCAUGAGAUUGUGUUUUUUUAUAAUCAGCUGAAAAAUUAAUUUAAUUAUUUCAUCGAAUUGUAUUUACAAUCUACACAUUAUAGAAA